CUUUGGUUGUGAGUGACUACAGGCCUCAUAAAGUGGGUUAGUGAACAGUGCAAUGUCCUGUUCUGGGAACUGCUCCCCCCAAUCCCAAAUACUUCUUAACACAAGCCGGUUAUUUGGAUCCUGUAAAACAGAUAAGGGCUGAGCUGCAUCAAACACAGAAAACUGUUCCUUGGAUAUAUGGGAGGUAUGCUCUGUGGCUUGUUUAAGAGAUCCACAGUCGGAUGGAUAUCUGCCAUGCGCACAAGAGCUGCUCCAUGUGAUGAACCCCAACACCAAAUAGGGGGCCUACUUCCUCGAAAAUGCCUCGCUGCGUCUCCUAGCUGCCAGUCCAAUACUUCUUGUGGCACAAUCAACCACUGAGAUUUAUUAAUGCAACUGACAUGCAUCGUGAUGCAGUAACAUAACAGUGACAGAUGAGUAUGGAGCAAUGGUGGAUUGAUGAUUAGCAGGGGCCAACCAAAGACGGACUCUAAGAAAUCCUGCUCCAGUACCAUUUCAUUCGUUAUGAUCCUUACUUGAUGUCACAUGGGACUGAACCCAGGUCUUCAUAGUGAGAAAAUGGUGUCUAGCCACCUCAGCUGUGGCAAAGCCUCAUCUUUCAACAAUUUAAGAUACAUAAGAAGAAAAUAAGGAAGGAAAAAAGAGAAACAGCCAACGUCAAGCAUAAAGAAGGUACUUGUUAGUGAUUUCCAAGUAGCUGUACACUUGUUUCACCUAGUGGAAAGCUGAAAACUUUGAUUUACAGCCGACAACCUCCAACCCUGGCAACCAGUCCUCAAAAGCUCUCGUUCCCAAUCAGCCAGACCCCGGAAGGAACACACUUCUCGCUGACAAUUAUAGUAUGGUUCUCUAAAAUAAAAGUGAUAAAAUGAUUAUACAUACUGUACAGUCUGGCUGUAUGCUACAACCACAAAUCCCAGUAGUUGUUUCACUUCACUGAAAAAAUUAAAUUAAACAAAAUAUGGGAAAACUCAUUAAUCUGAAAAUCAUACACAAACUACUGUUGCCAAAAUAAAGGAGCCACUUCAACUACCACUUCUGUCUGCUAUAUUAUAUUUUAAAUGUUUCAUCUCUUCAGAACUCUCUCCACUGUCAAAAAUAAAGCUUUACUAUACAGUUAAAAUUUUUAAAACAAAUUUGUGUACAAUAAAAAUAAAUUUGGGUCUUGGUGAUAAAAAAUA